rnacentral:rRNA from 1 species
ACGGAAGGCAGCAGUGGGGAAUAUUGCACAAUGGGGGAAACCCUGAUGCAGCGACGCCGCGUGAACGAUGAAGUAUUUCGGUAUGUAAAGUUCUAUCAGCAGGGAAGAUAAUGACGGUACCUGACUAAGAAGCACCGGCUAAAUACGUGCCAGCAGCCGCGGUAAUACGUAUGGUGCAAGCGUUAUCCGGAUUUACUGGGUGUAAAGGGUGCGUAGGUGGCAUGGCAAGUCUGAAGUGAAAUGCGGGGGCUCAACCCCUGAACUGCUUUGGAAACUGUCAAGCUUGAGUACAGGAGAGGAAGCGGAAUUCCUAGUGUAGCGGUGAAAUGCGUAGAUAUUAGGAGGAACACCAGUGGCGAAGGCGGCUUUCUGGACUGUAACUGACACUGAGGCACGAAAGCGUGGGGAGCAAACAGGAUUAGAUACCCUGGUA